UACGGAGGGUGCGAGCGUUGUCCGGAAUCACUGGGCGUAAAGGGCGCGUAGGUGGCGACCCAAGUCAACGGUGAAAGCUCGGCGCUUAACGCCGAGUCGGCCGUCGAUACUGGGUGGCUCGAGCACUGUAGAGGCAGAUGGAAUUCCGGGUGUAGCGGUGGAAUGCGUAGAGAUCCGGAAAGAACACCGGGUGGCGAAGGGCGGUCUGCUGGGCAG
rnacentral:rRNA from 1 species